GGCUCAGAUUGAACGCUGGCGGCAUGCUUUACACAUGCAAGUCGGACGGCAGCACAGAGAAGCUUGCUUCUUGGGUGGCGAGUGGCGAACGGGUGAGUAACACGUGAGUAAUCUGCCCUUCACUCGCGGAUAAGCUUCGGAAACGGGGUCUAAUACGCGAUGUACACCGGGUCCUGCAUGGGGUUUGGUGGAAAGUGUUUAGCGGUGGGGGAUGUGCUCGCGGCCUAUCAGCUUGUUGGUGGGGUAAUGGCCUACCAAGGCGUCGACGGGUAGCCGGCCUGAGAGGGUGACCGGCCACACUGGGACUGAGACACGG
rnacentral:rRNA from 1 species